rnacentral:rRNA from 1 species
AGCUCCAAUAGCGUAUAUUAAAGUUGUUGCAGUUAAAAAGCUCGUAGUUGGAUUUCUGUUUUGAAUUUCCGGUCCGUUCAAUGAAUGUGUACUUGGAAAUUUGAUUCAUUUAUUGUGAGGACCCUUAACUGGCAUUAAGUUGUCUGGUUUUGUGGACUUGCAUCGUUUACUGUGAAAAAAUUAGAGUGUUUAAAGCAGGCGUUCGCUUGAAUACAUUAGCAUGGAAUAAUAAGAUACGACACUGGUGGUCUAUUUUGUUGGUUUGCACACCAGAGUAAUGAUUAAUAGGGACAGUUGGGGGUAUUCGUAUUCCUGUGGAAGAGGUGAAAUUCUUGGAUCACAGGAAGACGAUCUUAGGCGAAAGCAUUUACCAUGGAUGUUUUCAUUAAUCAAGAACGAA